UACGAAGGGGGCGAGCGUUGUUCGGAAUUACUGGGCGUAAAGGGCGCGCAGGCGGCUCUGAAAGUCAGAUGUGAAAGCCCCGGGCUUAACCUGGGAACUGCAUUUGAUACUCUAGAGCUUGAGUACGGGAGAGGAGAGUGGAAUUCCCAGUGUAGAGGUGAAAUUCGUAGAUAUUGGGAAGAACACCGGUGGCGAAGGCGGCUCUCUGGACCGUAACUGACGCUGAGGCGCGAAAGCGUGGGGAGUAAACAGG
rnacentral:rRNA from 1 species